ensembl:snoRNA
GUUUAAAGAACCACCCCUGUCCCUGGCCUUGGUCGUGGCCUGGGUUGAGAUUCGGUGCCCAGAGCCACCAGGGGCCUCAGCUCACCUCUGGCUUCCACCGUGUGGGAGUGUAAAACCCAGGCUCCCAACAAGC